rnacentral:rRNA from 1 species
GGGACCUGCGGAAGGAUCAUUG